rnacentral:lncRNA from 1 species
CUCUCAUUUCGCAUCCUUUCCUCAUUCAUCAUUCAUCUGCAAUUUUUCAUACUUUCUCCGAUCAACCCUAAUCCCCUUUUUCACAAAACUAAUUCCAUAAUCUCAUGCAUGUGAACCAAAAAUUUUCAGAUCCAUGCCACCAAUUCGAUUUCUAUGAACUUUGAAGCUUAAUUUUAUCAAGAUUAUUAUUGAAGGUUUAAUAACUUUGUUGUGAGAUUGCAAAGUGAUUAUAAAAAGAUCAAGGAUCUUUAUGAUUGAUGCCAUUGUUGUUCGUUGAUUUUGGUAUUGGGAAAAUUCCAUACCAUUUUUUGAGAUGGAAUGGAAAAUCCAGCUAGUUAUGGGAAUCAUGAGAUUGAACAAGUUAGUUUCAUCAAAGGUUUCUUAAUUACUGGUACUUAUAGUUAUACAUGUCUAUUAUGUGUGUGA